GACAGAGGAGAGUGGAAUUUCGUGUGUAGGGGUGAAAUCCGUAGAUCUACGAAGGAACGCCAAAAGCGUAGGCAGCUCUCUGGGUC
rnacentral:rRNA from 1 species